ACAAUUACAUGGAAGUGGAGACACUGUGAUCAGGAAAGUAAUUUUUCCCAAGACGAAGCUCAUUUGUUUUAUACUGGCUAUGCUGACCCCUGAAAUUUCUCACCUGCAGGAAACUUGACUGCACAAUUUGUGGUAGUAAAGGUUACAUUCAUGCAAGA